AGCGAACGCUGGCGGCAGACCUAACACAUGCAAGUCGAACGAAGUCUUCGGACUUAGUGGCGGACGGGUGAGUAACACGUGGGAACGUGCCUUUAGGUUCGGAAUAACUCAGGGAAACUUGUGCUAAUACCGAAUGUGCCCUUCGGGGGAAAGAUUUAUCGCCCUUAGAGCGGCCCGCGUCUGAUUAGCUAGUUGGUGAGGUAAUGGCUCACCAAGGCUACGAUCAGUAGCUGGUCUGAGAGGAUGACCAGCCACAUUGGGACUGAGACACGGCCCAAACUACUACGGGAGGCAGCAGUGGGGAAUUUUGCGCAAUGGGCGAAAGCCUGACGCAGCCAUGCCGCGUGGAUGAUGAAGGUCUUAGGAUUGUAAAAUCCUUUCACCGGUGAAGAUAAUGACUGUAGCCGGAGAAGAAGCCCCGGCUAACUUCGUGCCAGCCGCCGCGGUAAAAC
rnacentral:rRNA from 1 species